rnacentral:rRNA from 1 species
GAUGAACGCUGGCGGCGUGCUUAACACAUGCAAGUCGAACGGUGAAGGCGGAGCUUGCUCUGCUGGAUCAGUGGCGAACGGGUGAGUAACACGUGAGCAAUCUGCCCCUGACUCUGGGAUAAGCGCUGGAAACGGCGUCUAAUACUGGAUACGAGCUGCUAAGGCAUCUUCAGCAGCUGGAAAGAACUUCGGUCAGGGAUGAGCUCGCGGCCUACCAGCUUGUUGGUGAGGUAACGGCUCACCAAGGCUUCGACGGGUAGCCUGCAUGAGAGGGGGGCCGGCCACAAGGGGACUGAGACACGGCCCAGAAUCCUACGGGAGGCAGUAGUGGGGAAUUUGGCACAACGGGCGAGAGCCAGAUGCAGCGACGCCGGGUGCGGGACGACCGCCUUCGGGUUGUAAACCUCUUUGAGCAGGGAAGAAGCGAAAGUGACGGUACCUGCAGAAAAAGCGCCGGCUAACUACGUG